rnacentral:lncRNA from 1 species
CUAACAUAUGGUCAGAAUUCAUGUUUUAUAGCUUAAUUCAUAACAUACCGACCCUAUGGAAGGCCUACGAUUGAUCCAAACGAUGUUUACAAUCAUAGAGAAAAAUUCAAAAAUUUGGACCCAUACAUUCGUGUGGCACACACGACCCAAUUGGCCUAGAUCGUGUGUCUCACAUGGUUCAGCACAUGGCCUGUCACACAGUAGUGUGUCACGUACGAC